UCAACAUCUGAAAGACAAAUCUGAAACUUUACUGUCAAGCACAAAUAGAGAAAACCAUUUUUGACUACCAUUACUCCAUGGACAUCCAAUAAAAGACCCCUUAGGUAAAACAAAAGCUGGCUAGCUCAACAGGCAGACCCCAUUGUCAGAAUUAUUCAGCAAUGCAGCUCUACAGCCAAAGGAGGUAAAACAAAAGCUGGCUAGCUCAACAGGCAGACCCCAUUGUCAGAAUUAUUCAGCAAUGCAGCUCUACAGCCAAAGGAGGUUCCUGAGAUCUAUCUUCCCUUUUGGAGAGGGGUUAAGAAAUAAACCGUCAUAUUAGGCCUGCUGUCAAACAACAUGGUUGGAUAACAGGCAAGUGUGAGUGGGCCCACAUAAACCAGGAACUCUCACUGCUCAUCAGGAGACCCGGAGGAUUCUCACCGCAGUGCUGGCAGAAGCCGAUGUCCUGCAGCUGCUGGUGUGACUGGUUGAUAAGGGAAGAGGGGACCAACGCAGUCUAAAUCACAAGUCGUGGGCACCAACUCUGGCCCUAUUUCUGGUCAUUGAACUGACAAUGUGCUUGACUCUGUUCAUGACAAAAGACUGGUAUAGAAAAGAGAAGAUGCACAGGGAAGUCAAGAGGAGUGAGUACUAAGAAUGGGAUAUGAUAUCCAAUUAACUCUGCUGACAGUCUAUCUCAUGGUCCUUCUCAGCUGCCAUGCUAUACUUUGAUGUAUACCUUCUCUGGAUGCAGAAAAACAGCAACAAGGAGAGUCACUUG